CGGUGCCAAGAGGCUUCAGGACUCGCCUACCCGUGCUAUGGACGAUUUACGUAAAGUUUUCCAGGUUCGGUGCGGGAAAGAAUCGGUCUGGUCGUCUGAGUUGGGGCUUGCACAAGCUUCUGUGGUCUUUCCUGAAAUGUAAGCCAGCCUGUAGGCUUUUUAGAGCUGAGUACAUCUUUCCUCAGAGUUCUACCACACAGGUAGAAAGGCAGGCACCAAAGACCAGCUCACUCGGACUAGUCUAAGCCAGUCUGGCAGGUGCUUUUUCCUGGCAAGUAGCCCAGGUCGAAGUCAAAGCCAGCUAAGCUCUGGGUGGGGCUUGCUUUGCAGAAACUAGACUUAUAUGGUGGGGAGAGGCGGGACACAUGGCCUUAAAAGGAAUUUGCACCCUAGAGAAAAAGAGUCUCAGUGGCACCAAAGGCAGUCGCUUCCCAUGCUUAGGCUGGGAUCUUGAGGGCUGACCUCGGGUAGAAGGCUAUCUCACUGAGUGAUGGUCACAGGGACAGCAGGCGCUGUGUAUAAGGUCUAAUCGGAUUGAAUAGGCAGUACCACUAGAGGUAGCAAUUCAUUUUGGUGAACAGCUAGGUCCUUAAAGUGUUAGGGUGGGUGUGGGGAAACGAGGUGGGCGGGGACUAGACUGGACUCUGAGUCACUUGCCAGUGAUAAAUGGAUACAAAGCUCUGUCUAUACCUGGAAGAUAAUCACUAGGGAUAUCAGUGACCCAGAAUAGGAGAAAAACUCAAUUCUGGUCCUUUCUCUAUCCUCAAAGAAGGCAUUUGUGGUGGUUUGACUGGGAAAGCCCCCCCACCCCCCAGGCUCAGUCAUUUGAAAUCCUGGUUUCCAGUUGGAGGUACUGUUUGGAGGAAAUGUAGUUUCGAGGGACAGCCAAGUCACAGGGGCAGGCUUUGAGAGUUCAAAGACUCCCACCAUUCCUACUUUGGUCUCUGCUUCCUGCUUGUGGUUUGAGAUCUGAGCUAUCACCUUUCUACCAUGAUGGUGAUGACCUCUUACCCCUCUGGAACUGUAGGCUCAAAUACACACCUCUUUAUUU
ensembl:lincRNA